rnacentral:misc_RNA from 1 species
GUACCCUUUUCUUGUGUGUCUGCCCAUUUGUUUUGACUGUUCAUAUUUAUCUCUACACUAGAGGAGGUAGAUUGAUUCUUUCAAGUGAAUUUUGAACUCAUCAAGCUGAUACUAUAUUGUCCUUUGAUGAGAGAGUAGCAAGGUUCUGUAAGUUUCUCAGAAACUUCAAAUUUCCUCAUAUUUAUGCAGCUCUUGUGGGCCUUCAAAUGAACUGAGUUAUUAACAAAGACUUUGGGCUUGUUUUGGCUGGUUUAUAUGAAAAUAAAGCAAGUUUAGAGAUCUCUUUUGGGGUUGUUUAUCUUUAUUCUUGGUUUGAUAUAGGCUUGUGAACAGGUGCAACAGGAACCUGAUAACAAAAUUUUGUAUAUUAUACUACUGUUUAAUUUUUGUUUGUAUGAUUUUUUACCUGUUUAUUUUUAAUCAUUUAUCUAAAAGGUAUAUUUUUAAGUAAUUAAGGCUAUCUUUAAUUUGAAGUUCAAAUUAUGAUGUUAAAUGAUCGAAACUUGAGCAUGCAUGCUUAAGGAAGUUGGAGUCAAGGUCAAGCUGACUUAAGCUUGAGCAGAGUCUGAACAUUGUUUGAAUAAAGCUGCUUGAAUUGGAGAGAUCCAUUCAUAAGCUGCAGCACUACACACUAAUCCUUACCUAACUUCUUUUCAUUGCCAUUGCCAGGUCGGUUGUUGUAAAGGUGUUCAAUAAAUCACACCUGUAAACUAUGGGGUCUUGUUGCUUUGAGAAUUGCUGAAAGUUGCAAAAUGACUGUGACUUCUAAUAACUUUUGCAGGUCUUGGAGGGCUUGCUACCAC